rnacentral:lncRNA from 1 species
UGCCAGACAUCCUUGAUAGAAAAACACAACGUUCCCUCGAAGACGGGUCGGAGGAUCAGAUUUUAAACUGAUUUGCUAGAUAAUUUAUUUAAGAAUAGUUUGAGUCAUGAAUAAUUUGGUACACUGAAUAAAAAGAAUACAUUGAUUAAAAAAAAAUGUUUCAUGCAACAACAGUGAUAUAAUUGAAUUACCAUUCUAUAAUGAAGUUAUUUAUUUCAUUCUAGUCCAUAUCCAUUUUUUCAGAACAUAUUGAUUAUUUUUUAACUCAAACAAGUAUGCAGACAUUAGUAGAAUAUAACAUCACUUGGAAUUGUUUUCUGAUUUCUGGCAUAAUAUAUCCCAUUUGUUGGUUAUUCUCUUACUGAGUUCCAAUCAAAGGCAAAGGGCAGUGGUUUUGAUGGGGCUCCCCUACUAUCUAAAAGAUGUGGCCAAACUUUACAAGAAAGUACAGGUCACAGAUGCAGAGGAGGACUGGACAAAGGGGAUGGCAGUCGGUAUCCUUGUGGUGGAACAGAAUGAUCGGUUGGUUUCGCAGUGGUCCUCGAGGAAGAAAUCAUCUUUCCAAGCAUCAGUGAUUUUCCAACUGCUGUGGCACUGCUAAUGGGUCUGCUCUUUGCCCUCAACAUAGACUACCCCAGAGGCCUUAGGUAUACUUUUGAGGUAAUUCAGAAGGUGCUUAUGGACACUAGUGGAGGGCAAUGCUCUGCAUUGGUUCAUGGGUUAAAAACCGACUCUUGAGAAAGAAAAAGUAAGCUUAAUAGCUUAUUUUUACAUUGUUGUUAGUUUUGAUGCAUUUUUUCUAAAUGCACAUUGUUCCGUUUAUGUUUUGUUAAACUAUUUGUAAUUUUAGCUAGCAUUCAACAAUUUACAAGUUUUAACAUUUUACUGCUUUUUGAGAAGAUUUCAUAGAGAGAGGUAGCGAGAGAUGUAGGUUGCUGGAGAGAGAUGGGUAGGUAGCUGGAGAGAGGUAGGUAGAGAGAGGGAGGUAGGUAGGUAGGUAGAGGGAGGGAGGUAGGUAGGUAGGUAGAGAGAGGGCGGUAGGUAGGUAGGUAGAGAGAGGUAGGUAGAGAGAGGUAGGUAGAGAGAGAGAGGUAGGUAGAGAGAGGUAGGCAGAGAGAGGUAGGGAGAGAGAGGUAGAGAGAGAGAGAGAGAGAGGGAGGUAGGUAGAGAGAGGGAGGUAGGUAGGUAGAGAGAGGGAGGUAGGUAGGUAGAGAGAGGUAGGUAGAGAGAGGGAGGUAGGUAGGUAGAGAGAGGGAGGUAGGUAGCUGGAGAGAGAGGUAGGUAGCUGGAGAGAGGGAGGUAGGUAGCUGGAGAGAGGGAGGUAGGUAGCGGGAGAGAGGUAGGGAGGGAGGGAGGUAGGUAGGUAGAGGGAGGUAGGUAGCUGGAGAGAGGUAGGUAGGUAGGUAGCUGGAGAGAGGUAGGUAGGUAGGUAGCUGGAGAGAGGUAGGUAGGUAGGUAGCUGGAGAGAGGUAGGUAGGUAGGUAGCUGGAGAGAGGUAGGUAGGUAGCUGGAGAGAGGUAGGUAGGUAGCUGGAGAGAGGUAGGUAGGUAGCUGGAGAGAGGUAGGUAGGUAGCUGGAGAGAGGUAGGUAGGUAGGUAGAGGGAGGUAGGUAGGUAGGUAGAGGGAGGUAGGUAGGUAGGUAGCUGGAGGUUGGUAGGUAAGGAGAGGUAGGUAGGUAAGGAGAGAGAGGUAGGUAGGUAAGGAGAGAGAGGUAGGUAGGUAGGUAAGGAGAGAGAGGUAGGUAGGUAGGUAAGGAGAGAGAGGUAGGUAGGUAAGGAGAGAGAGAGAGGUAGGUAGGUAGGUAAGGAGAGAGAGAGAGGUAGGUAGGUAAGGAGAGAGAGAGAGGUAGGUAGGUAAGGAGAGAGAGAGAGGUAGGUAGGUAGGUAAGGAGAGAGAGAGAGGUAGGUAGGUAGGUAAGGAGAGAGGUAGGUAGGUAGGUAAGGAGAGAGGUAGGUAGGUAAGGAGAGAGGUAGGUAGGUAGGUAGGUAAGGAGAGAGGUAGGUAGGUAGGUAAGGAGAGGUAGGUAGGUAAGGAGAGAGAGGUAGGUAGGUAGGUAGGUAGAGAGCUGGAGAGAGAGGUAGGUAGGUAGAGAGGGGUAGCGAGAGAGGGGUAGCGAGAGGGGUAGCGAGAGGGGUAGGGAGAGGGGUAGGGAGAGGUAGGGAGAGGGAGAGGUAGGGAGAGAGGGAGGGAGGGAGGGAGGGAGGGGUAGCAGGAGAUGGAGAUAGAGCGAAAGAGAUUUCUAAACUAUUUGUAUUCAGUGGGCGUCCAUCAACCUUAUCUUUGUUUACGGUACAUUUUGAAAACGGCGCAUGACAUUUCUUUUGAGAGGUGAAGUAUCCACUUCAGGGGUGAAGUUGAAACUUUGUUCGACUUUCACUUGAUUCAGAUGUGAAGUUCAUACUUUGUCACAUUUUCACUUGUUUUUGAGGUGAAGUUGAGCUAAUUACUGAGUGUUCCUGAAAGUGCAGGGUAGCCGCGGGGUCUUAAAAGUCUAAAAAAUGUCUUAAUUUUCAUGUUCCUAAAUUAAGGCCUUAAAAAGUCUUAAAUUGCGUUACCCAAGUCUUAAUUUUUUAAAGAUGGUCUUAAAUUUCCUACCAGGAUAUGUUUUCGUAGUCAACCGGACUGUAACACAAGGGGAAAAUGGGGGGCGUUUUGCGUAUCGGGGUUUUGCGUAACGUCAGAGAACGUCUCAUUUAUUGGAGCAUGCGCGAACAAUACUUUGGGUUUCCGCGCCGGCAAUCUCAACAAACAUAAUCAG